rnacentral:rRNA from 1 species
AUUGAACGCUGGCGGCAGGCCUAACACAUGCAAGUCGAACGGUAACAGGAAACAGCUUGCUGUUUCGCUGACGAGUGGCGGACGGGUGAGUAAUGUCUGGGAAACUGCCUGAUGGAGGGGGAUAACUACUGGAAACGGUAGCUAAUACCGCAUAACGUCGCAAGACCAAAGAGGGGGACCCUCGGGCCUCUUGCCAUCGGAUGUGCCCAGAUGGGAUGAGCUUGUUGGUGGGGUAACGGCUCACCAAGGCGACGAUCCCUAGCUGGUCUGAGAGGAUGACCAGCCACACUGGAACUGAGACACGGUCCAGACUCCGACGGGGGGCAGCAGUGGGGAAUAUUGCACAAUGGGCGCAAGCCUGAUGCAGCCAUGCCGCGUGUAUGAAGAAGGCCUUCGGGUUGGAAAGUACUUUCAGCGGGGAGGAAGGGAGUAAAGUUAAUACCUUUGCUCAUUGACGUUACCCGCAGAAGAAGCACCGGCUAACUCCGUG